AUGGAUCUCUCCAUCUCUGUCCCCUUGCUGAUCUAUGAGUCCACACUCCAGCACAGUGUCCUGUGUGAAAUCCAGCUGGUGGAGUUGGGGGGAGACAUGAGACAGCCUGGGGUUCUCUGAGCCUCUCCUGCAAAGCCUUUGGAUUCACCUUCACUAACUACAGCAUGCACUGGGUCCGCCAGGCUCCAGGGCAGGGGCUGGAGUGGGUGGCAGAAGUGAGUCAGCCAAGUGGAAGUAAACAGUGGUACUCUCCAUCAGUACAAGGAAGGUUCACAAUAUCCAGGGACAACCCUACAAGCACAGUGUCUCUUAAAAUGACCAACCUGAAAGUCGAGGACACGGCUGUGUAUUAUUUUGUGAGAGACACAGUGAGGGAAUGUCAGUGUGAGCCCAGACACAAACCUCCCUGCAUGGAGACUUGGUGGUAG